rnacentral:rRNA from 1 species
UACAGAAGGUGCGAGCGUUAAUCGGAAUUACUGGGCGUAAAGCGCACGUAGGCGGCUUUGUAAGUAAGAGGUGAAAGCCCAGAGCUCAACUCUGGAAUUGCCUUUUAGACUGCAUCGCUUGAAUCAUGGAGAGGUCAGUGGAAUUCCGAGUGUAGAGGUGAAAUUCGUAGAUAUUCGGAAGAACACCAGUGGCGAAGGCGGCUGACUGGACAUGUAUUGACGCUGAGGUGCGAAAGCGUGGGGAGCAAACAGG